GACAGUAUCCUGGCUACCCCUGUCUGUGUUGUGCUUGGGUUCCUUUCACUGGCCUGAUCGUUCUUCAGCACGAAAGCCUCAUGAAGAUUGUGCUGAGAUGUGUGUGCCAGUGCACUUGGACUGUCUGGCUUAAGCUAACAUACAUUUACAGUGCCAGCACUGGCCAGGAUCUUAAGGUAAAUGGAUUUCUAGACAGGAUGGAAGAUGACAUUACAGAGCGUUUCCUGCAGACAGUCACUUCUAAAGUCAAGGGAACACUGAAGAAUCACUUCAAAAAGUGUGACAGUGGUUUUGGCCACAUUCUUGAAUCCUUAAAGCAAAGCUUUUUGGCCUUUGGGAAGAAACAGAUAUGUAUGAGGCCCUCGUCCAGGCUGUCAAUGCCAUUGUUAUUACAGAAUAUGUGCAGGCUCUCCUGACCACUCCCAGGAAACCAUCUUCUGUGCAGAGGAGGAAGGUUGUCAACAAGAUAGAAGAAGAUCAUAGGAUGAUGCAAGCCAUCUUUAAAGAGUGCUUAGGUCCUGCAGCUGGUCCCCUCAAGGAUCCCAUAAAAGCAAUUUUAGAACUUAUUCAAGCUUCCGAUGCAGAGGGGAUGGAAAUAGCUCUUCUGCCCAUUCUCAAAGAAUUUCCUGAGCUCAGGAAGGAACAUCUGAGUGCGGUGCUGGACCUCAAAGACUCGCUCAGCCGAGAAGACAGAACUGCUCUCUUGAAGGCAUUUGAAGAUAAUUGCAGGGAAUCAGAAACAGAAGCAAACUUACUUUUUGCAGAUAUAGAAGUAAAACCUAGAAAAUAUGGGCUCUGUGGCUGCCUCUGCUGUUAGCAAAGGCCAGCUAUGAGAAACGUGAAGCCUUGCUCCCAUGUGGCAGCAUCUGCAAUCACAGCUCCUUGAAAGCAUCAGGGACCCAUGCAGCUGGACAUAUGGAGAAGCCUGUCAGCUACGGAAGACACAGUUCCUGCAUUUUUGCAGGAAAGCCACGUGGCUCAAAUCCUAAUCUUCUAUGCAAAAUCCAGGAGGGAGAUGGAUGGGAUAUGGCAGAAAGACAUUCCUCCAAAACUUCCUAGAGAUUGCCACUUAGCUGAGUCCUAGUAGUUAUUCCCAGGAUGUGGCAUGGUGGCAUGUGUGAAGGAGGAAGGUUCACCCUUACCAAAUUUCUCUCUGUUUCCAUCCCUUGUUUCCUGCAAUCUCACAUGAAACCAGAGACCGCUGCACCACACGUUGUCCUAGCGUUGCAACCUCCUGAGGGACUCGGGAUCCUCUUGGGGAAUCCUGCCUAGCCCAUCGUGCUGGGAGUUCUUGCUGGUCUGGGCACCUUGAUCCACCCCCCAGAAGCCUGACCCACACCAGGAGGGGUGCAGACAGAGCUGCCUCUUCCCUCACUCACAAAGGCUGUGACCUGCUUCGGGGGCAGCCUGCCAUGGUGGGCUGUGGGAUGGGGAGCGCUUCCCUUAUGAGUUUUACAGCUGGCUCUGGAGCAUAGUCUUGCAUUCAUUUUUAUCCCUUGGUUACUGGAAAUUUCCUCUUGGAGAGGGAGGAGAAAGCCUCAUGGGAAGCAGGCAGUGAAAGGAGCUGUUUGUCCGAGCCUCUGGGCAAGGUCUCUGCUAGUUUUCAGAUGUAAAUAGGCAGUUCUGACAGGAAAACACUGACUUUUCUUCCCAGUUAUCUAUGGACUGGUCACAACCUCCAAGCUGGAUGUGGUUCAAGGCCCUCCUUUGCUAUCGUGUGAAAACAGGCCAUUAAUGCUCCUCUCUGACAGCAUAAACAAGGAAAAGAACUCUGCCUCAUAUGUGCCAGUGCUUUUCUGAGCUGCCAUUUUCCUUCAAAUCUGCUUCCCUAACAAGUAAAGGGGAAAAUCUGUGCAUAACCUGUCAAUGUGUGAGGCAGCAGAUGUGUCAUGCCCUGGGACCCAGGGAAAGCGCAGACCUGGUGGGUUCUGCCACGUUCUGCAGUGCUGUGCCACCAUCCCAGGGGCACAGGUGUCCCAGCUCAGGGGCAGCUUCUCUGCCCAGAGCCCUGGGUGCAGAUGGGGUCCUGUGAGCUCUUCAGGAGCCAGGCAGGUUUGUAAUUGUCACUAGCUUUGCACCUGGUGCAGUGCUGAGCGUGGCAGAGCAGCAGGAAGGAACAUGCUGCUCCAUCUCCAGGGAGUCCUCUGUGUGCUUUCAGGGCCCCAUGAGACCUUGGCAUCAUUACACUGCAUCCCUCACGUCACUAAAGGGCAGUGAGAGCAUCCCAUGGCCUGAAUGCCCUUCCUGACUGCAUGGCUGCUCCAAAGUCCAGUCCUGGUGUCCCUCAGGUUUCAUAGCUGUGCAUUGCAGCUUCAGUGAGACCUUUCCUGGGAUGUGGGAAGGCUGGGGAAGCUGAGGCAGCAGGCUGGACAGGUGGGCACAGCUGGGCUGUGGGGCUGAGUGGGCACCUGUCCUCCAAAAGGUGCCAGCCUUGCCAGGCACACUGGGCCAGUCACCCUCCCCUCCUGACGAAUUGCACAUUUUUUCAAGGGUGGGAAGGGAUGACAGACCUGCAUGACAGACCCUAUUGUGACAGCAGGGUCAAGGUCAGCCUCUGCCAAUGGGAAUUUCAAGCAACAAGCCUUCCAGAGGAAAUAAAUAAAAAUAAAAGCCCCUCUGACA
rnacentral:lncRNA from 1 species